rnacentral:rRNA from 1 species
GACGAACGCUGGCGGCGUGCUUAACACAUGCAAGUCGAACGGAAAGGCCCUGCUUUUGUGGUGUGCUCGAGUGGCGAACGGGUGAGUAACACGUGAGUAACCUGCCCUUGACUUUGGUAUAACUUCAGGAAACUGGGGCUAAUACCGGAUAGGAUCUCCUGCUGCAUGGUGGGGGUUGGAAAUUUUCGGCGGUUGGGGAUGGACUCGCGGCUUAUCAGCUUGUUGGUGGGGUAGUGGCUUACCAAGGCUUUGAAGGGUAGCCGGCCUGAGAGGGUGACCGGCGACAUGGGGACUGAGAGACGGCCCAGACUCCUACGGGAGGCAGCAGGGGGGAAUAUUGAACAAUGGGCGGAAGCCUGAGGAAGCAACGCCGCGUGCGGGAUGACGGCCUUCGGGGUGUAAACCGCUUUAGCCUGUGACGAAGCGUGAGUGACGGUAAUGGGUAAAGAAGCACCGGCUAACUACGUG